UGCGCUCAUAGCUCAGCUGGAUAGAGCAACGGCCUUCUAAGCCGUAGGCCUCAGGUUCGAAUCCUGAUGGGCGUACCAC
rnacentral:tRNA from 1 species